UACAGAGGGUGCGAGCGUUGUUCGGAAUUACUGGGCGUAAAGGGCGCGUAGGCGGCCACCGCAAGUCGACUGUGAAAUCUCCGGGCUUAACCCGGAAAGGUCAGCCGAUACUGCGGGGCUAGAGUGCAGAAGGGGCAACUGGAAUUCUCGGUGUAGCGGUGAAAUGCGUAGAUAUCGAGAGGAACACCUGCGGCGAAGGCGGGUGCUGGGCUGACACUGACGCUGAGGCGCGAAAGCUAGGGGAGCGAACGGG
rnacentral:rRNA from 1 species